CCAAUAGCGUAUAUUAAAGUUGUUGCAGUUAAAAAGCUCGUAGUUGAAUUUCGGGGUUCUUCCGUUGGUCAGGCUAACAAGUCUGUACUAGCGUGUAGAAUCUCUACCUUCUGGGGAACCAUCAUGUUAUUAAUUUAGCGUGGUGGGAAACCAGGACCUUUACCUUGAAAAAAUUAGAGUGUUCAAAGCAGGCUUACGUCUGAAUACAUUAGCAUGGAAUAAUAAAAUAGGACGGUGGUCCUGUUUUGUUGGUUUCUGAAUCACCGUAAUGAUUAAUAGGGAUAGUUGGGGGCAUUAGUAUUCAAUUGUCAGAGGUGAAAUUCUUGGAUUUAUUGAAGACUAACUUCUGCGAAAGCAUUUGCCAAGGAUGUUUUCAUUAAUCAAGAACGAAAGUUAGGGGAUCGAAGACGAUCAGAUACCGUCGUAGUCUUAACCAUAAACUAUGCCGACUAGGGAUCGGACGAUGUUAAAUUUUAUUGACUCGUUCGGCGCCUUACG
rnacentral:ncRNA from 2 species